CCUACGGGAGGCAGCAGUGGGGAAUAUUGGACAAUGGGCGAAAGCCUGAUCCAGCAACGCCGCGUGAGGGAUGACGGCCUUCGGGUUGUAAACCUCUUUCAGCAGGGACGAAGCGAAAGUGACGGUACCUGCAGAAGAAGGACCGGCCAACUACGUGCCAGCAGCCGCGUAAU
rnacentral:rRNA from 1 species